UGCGUAGGUGGCCAAUUAAGUCAAAUGUGAAGUCCCCGAGCUUAACUUGAGAAUUGCAUUCGAUACUGGUUGGCUAGAGUAUGGGAGAGGAUGGUAGAAUUCCAGGUGUAGCGGUGAAAUGCGUAGAGAUCUGGAGGAAUACCGAUGGCGAAGGCAGCCAUCUGGCCUAAUACUGACACUGAGGUACGAAAGCAGUGGGGAGACAAACA
rnacentral:rRNA from 1 species